GGGCCUGUAGCUCAAUGGUAGAGCAAUUCCCUCUUAAGGAAGAGGUUGAUGGUUCGAAUCCAUCCAGGCUCA
rnacentral:tRNA from 4 species